rnacentral:rRNA from 1 species
CUCCUUUAACAGUUAAAGGUAUCGCCUGCUCAGUGCUUUGUAAACAGCCGCAGUAUUUUGACUGUGCAAAGGUAGCAUAAUCACUUGUCUUUUAAUUAAGGGCUGGUAUGAAUGGCGAGACGAGAAAUUAACUGUCUUAAUUUUAUUGCUCUAAGUUGACUUAUGAGUGCAAAGGCUCAUUUAUUCUCAUAGGACGAUCAGACCCUAUGGAGCUUUUUUGUUGGGGCGACAAAGAGCUAGUUUAACACUCUUUUUUUUUAACAAUUAUUUAUGACUAAUAGAUCCUCUUAGCUAGAGCACAAGACUAAGUUACCCUAGGGAUAACAGCGUAAUUUUUUUUGAGAGUUCAUAUCGAUAAAAGAGUUUGCGACCUCGAUGUUGGAUCGAAGAAUCAAUAAGGGGUAGUUUUUUUAUUGGAGGGUCUGUUCGACCUUUUAAUCUUCACG